rnacentral:lncRNA from 1 species
CAGCACACCAUCUUCACCUCAGAAGCCAGGAAGCGAUGCUCAAAAUAAAGACCAGAGCUCCCCCAAAGUGAGCCACAGCCAUUCUUGGCAAGACUGGAGAACAUCUGAGUUCUUAUCAGGAAAGCCAGCUCCAGGAGAACCAACAGUACCACCUCUUCCUCUCCAGUUCUCCUUUUUAUGCUGUUGGCAACAACCCUCAGGCCCCUACCACACCGUCACGGCUCCUCGGCCCAACUGCGAGAGGAACACAACUGCAGCCCUGGACAGAGCAAAAUUCCCUGCAGACACCAACUAUGAAGACCCCGAGCUUCAGAUGGUCGAUGUGUGGCCAUCGGUGAAGAUUUUACCAGCCCGACCCAUAAAGGAAUCAGAAUACGCAGAUACCCGCUGUUUCCGGGACGCCUCCUCUCUGCAGUACGCCACGCCUGUAACACCCCCUCCAAGACGAAUGCCGAAUCCGAGACUGCAGCCAGAGGAGAUGGACAAACCCUUUUCCAAGGAAACGAGAAGCCAGCAUGUCACAGGAGACAAAUCCAUACAGGGAAACAAGACCCCUAUACCACCUCCCAGGCCUCCCCCCACCCUCCCGAAGAAGUACCAGCCCCUGCCGCCCACGCCUCCAGAGAACUACACAUCUACCCUACAGCUGCACGUCUUCCCAGAAGCCCAGAGGGGCCCCAGGUGAGACCUGUGGCCUUGCUACUGAGCGGUGCCCCAGAAGAUCACGGGGGGGGGG